AUGGGCGCCGGCCAGCGUAUGGCGUCUCCGCCUGCGGCGGUGGCCGUGCCUCUCCUGCUUCUGUUCGUCGUGCCCUUCUGGAGCCGUGUGGCGUCGGCGGACGGCGGCGCUCCGGCCUGGACGACGGCGCUGCAGAAGCACGUGGCGUUCUUCGACGCCGACAGCGACGGCAUCGUCUCCUUCUCCGAGACAGAGCGAGGGCUUCGCGCCAUCGGUCUCGGAGCUGCCGAGGCCACCGUCAAGGCAACCUUGAUCAACGGAGUCAUCGGACCCAAGACCAGACCUGAAAAUGCUACGACGUCAAAGUUCUCAAUCUACAUAGAGAACAUCCAUCAAGGGAUCCACGGAAGUGACAGCGGCUCGUACGAUGCUCAAGGAAGGUUUGUCCCUGCCAAGUUCAACGAGAUAUUCACCAAGCAUGCCAAGGUCGAACCGAACGCUGUGAACGAGAGCGAGCUGGAGGCGAUGCGCAUCGCGAACAGGGAGGACGGCGACGACAUAGGAAGGGCGGCGUCGAAGGCGGAGUGGGACUUGCUGCACAGCCUCGCCAAGGACAAGGACGGCUUCCUUCAGAAGGACAACGCGCGCACCGUCUUCGACGACAGCCUCUUCGUUCAGCUGGCAAAAAAGGGCGAGUAG
rnacentral:rRNA from 1 species